UCAUAUCUUAACCUCUUUCAAUUUACCAGAUUCAACUCAACAGCCAAGGACUAUGACCACAUGUUUCCUGUGGCAGGGUCAUAUCACCGACUAUUCUUCUUGCGGUACCAAUGUAUUAGCCCCCAUUGGCAGGGUCCUCAACAUAGCUCGACUGCAAGUAUGAAUCUAUCUCAAGUCAUUAUCUUUUCUUACAUUAUGUUCAGUGUUUCAAGCCGAAAAAUACAAUGUCAGAGAAAUUAAAUACAAUUCAACCAGAAGCAAAUACGUCCAAUCAGAGUCAUACAAUAUUCUAAAAAUAUACAUAAUUCAAACCAGAAGCAAACACGUCCAAUCAGAGUCAUACAAUAUUCUAAAAAUAUACAUAUAAUCCAUGCAUCAAAUUCGUAAUCACAAAUAAUUCGAUUCGUAAAACAGAUAUUUACUUUGCCGAUAAAUCUAGUAAAGAGGUUACAUCACUUACCUUGCAAACGCGAUCCACAACAAAUCCAAUUAAUUCCGCAAAUCCCUCGCAGCACCUAAUAUUCAAAAACC
rnacentral:lncRNA from 1 species